AUCCGGGUUGCGGACAGUGUCUGGUGGGUAGUUUGACUGGGGCGGUCUCCUCCUAAAGAGUAACGGAGGAGCACGAAGGUUGGCUAAUCCUGGUCGGACAUCAGGAGGUUAGUGCAAUGGCAUAAGCCAGCUUGACUGCGAGCGUGACGGCGCGAGCAGGUGCGAAAGCAGGUCAUAGUGAUCCGGUGGUUCUGAAUGGAAGGGCCAUCGCUCAACGGAUAAAAGGUACUCCGGGGAUAACAGGCUGAUACCGCCCAAGAGUUCAUAUCGACGGCGGUGUUUGGCACCUCGAUGUCGGCUCAUCACAUCCUGGGGCUGAAGUAGGUCCCAAGGGUAUGGCUGUUCGCCAUUUAAAGUGGUACGCGAGCUGGGUUUAGAACGUCGUGAGACAGUUCGGUCCCUAUCUGCCGUGGGCGCUGGAGAAUUGAGGGGGGCUGCUCCUAGUACGAGAGGACCGGAGUGGACGCAUCACUGGUGUUCGGGUUGUCAUGCCAAUGGCACUGCCCGGUAGCUAAAUGCGGAAGAGAUAAGUGCUGAAAGCAUCUAAGCACGAAACUUGCCCCGAGAUGAGUUCUCCCUGACUCCUUGAGAGUCCUGAAGGAACGUUGAAGACGACGACGUUGAUAGGCCGGAUGUGUAAGCGCAGCGAUGCGUUGAGCUAACCGGUACUAAUGAACCGUGAGGCUUAACCUUACAACGCCGAAGGUGUUU
rnacentral:rRNA from 1 species